UUGGUGUGGUUGUUGCUGGCCCUCUUGGGGGUAUGUGCACACCCACCAUUCUCAUCUUUCCACCUGUGCAYCUUUUGUAGACUUGGAUAAAACUUUCCGAGGCCACUCGGGUGGGGGAACUGCUGUGCUUAUUAAAGCCAGCUUUUCUUGCAUUUUCCAGGCCUAUGUUUUUCAUAUACCAUUAGUCUGUAACAGAAUGUAUCAUUUGGCCCUUGUGCCUAUAAGCCUUAUACAACUUUCAGCAACGGAUCUCUUGGCUCUCGCAUCGAUGAAGAACGCAGCGAAAUGCGAUAAGUAAUGUGAAUUGCAGAAUUCAGUGAAUCAUCGAAUCUUUGAACGCACCUUGCGCUCCUUGGUAUUCCGAGGAGCAUGCCUGUUUGAGUGUCAUUAAAUUCUCAACCUUAUUAGCUUUUGCUAAUGAUGGCUUGGAUGUGGGGGUUUUUUUUGCUGGCUUCGUCAUAGAGGUCAGCUCCCCUUAAAUGCAUUAGCCGGUGCCCCGCGUGGACUCGUCUAUUGGUGUGAUAAUUAUCUACGCCGUGGAUGUCUGCAAUUAUAUGGGUUUGUACUGCUUCUAACUGUCUGUUUAUUCAGACAAUACAUGACGAUUUGCGCUCGAAU
rnacentral:rRNA from 1 species